rnacentral:rRNA from 1 species
GCCAGACUCCUACGGGAGGCAGCAGUGGGGAAUAUUGGACAAUGGGGGGAACCCUGAUCCAGCGACGCCGCGUGAGUGAAGAAGUAUUUCGGUAUGUAAAGCUCUAUCAGCAGGGAAGAAAGAAAUGACGGUACCUGACUAAGAAGCCCCGGCUAACUACGUGCCAGCAGCCGCGGUAAUACGUAGGGGGCAAGCGUUAUCCGGAUUUACUGGGUGUAAAGGGAGCGCAGGCGGCGCGCCAAGUCUGAUGUGAAACCCCGGGGCUCAACCCCGGGCAUGCAUUGGAAACUGGCGGGCUGGAGUGCCGGAGAGGUAAGCGGAAUUCCUAGUGUAGCGGUGAAAUGCGUAGAUAUUAGGAGGAACACCAGUGGCGAAGGCGGCUUACUGGACGGCAGCUGACGCUGAGGCUCGAAAGCGUGGGGAGCGAACAGGAUUAGAUACCCUCGUAUC